CUCGCUUUGCAUCUGGUCCCUGCUCUCAGCCUGAUCACCUUGAUGACCCUCACCUGACAGAUUACCCAGUCGCAGGCUGCCCAGCUGAAAGACACCAUGGAUUUUCUUUUAUUUAAGAAAACGUUAUACAGGACACAGCAAUACCUUCCAGAGGAUGCAGCGACAAGACACCAUCUUGGAAGCAGAGAGCAGCCAUCACCAGACAUCAAACUUGCCAGCAUCUUAAUCGUAGACUUCCCAGCCUCCGGGACUGUAAAAAAUAAAUUUCUAUUGUUCAUAAA